AGCGAACGUUAGCGGCGGGCCUAACACAUGCAAGUCGAACGGGCAGUAGCAAUACUGUCAGUGGCGCACGGGUGCGUAACGCGUAGAUAAUCUACCUUCCAGCGGGGGAUAACUGAGGGAAACCUUAGCUAAUACCCCAUAAGACCACGGGGCCUUCGGGUUCUGCGGGAAAAGGCGGCCUCUGCAUAUGCUGUCACUGGGAGAUGAGUCUGCGUCCCAUCAGCUAGUUGGUGAGGUAAUGGCUCACCAAGGCGAAGACGGGUAGCUGGUCUGAGAGGAUGAUCAGCCACACUGGCACUGGAACACGGGCCAGACUCCUACGGGAGGCAGCAGUGGGGAAUAUUUGGGACAAUGGGCGUCAAAGCCUGAUCAGCCAUGCCGCGUGAGUGAUGAAGGCCCUAGGGUUGUAAAGCGU
rnacentral:rRNA from 1 species